GAGCGAAGCGGGAAGAGCUCAAAUUUAUAAUCUGGCACCUUCGGUGUCCGAGUUGUAAUCUCUAGAAAUGUUUUCCGCGCUGGACCGCACACAAGUCUGUUGGAAUACAGCGGCAUAGUGGUGAGACCCCCGUAUAUGGUGCGGAUGCCCAGCGCUUUGUGAUACAUUUUCGAAGAGUCGAGUUGUUUGGGAAUGCAGCUCAAAUUGGGUGGUAAAUUCCAUCUAAAGCUAAAUAUUGGCGAGAGACCGAUAGCGAACAAGUACCGUGAGGGAAAGAUGAAAAGCACUUUGGAAAGAGAGUUAACAGUACGUGAAAUUGUUGGAAGGGAAACGCUUGAAGUCAGACUUGCUUGCCGAGCAAUCGGUUUGCAGGCCAGCAUCAGUUUUCCGGGAUGGAUAAUGGUAGAGAGAAGGUAGCAGUUUCGGCUGUGUUAUAGCUCUCUACUGGAUACAUCUUGGGGGACUGAGGAACGCAGUGUGCCUUACGGCGGGGGUUUCGACCUCUUCACACUUAGGAUGCUGGUGGAAUGGCUUUAAACGACCCGUCUUGA
rnacentral:rRNA from 1 species